rnacentral:rRNA from 1 species
UGAGCACGUAGGGGGUUUGUAAGUCAGAUGUGAAAGCCUUCUGUUCAACGGGAGAAUUGCAUCUGAAACUGCUAAUCUUGAGUAUAGGAGGGGAGAAUGGAACUUCUGGUGGAGCGGUGAAAUGCGUAGAUAUCAGAAGGAACGUCGGCGGCGAAAGCGAUUCUCUGGCCUAUUACUGACACUCAGUGUGCGAAAGCUAGGGGAGCAAACGGGAUAGAUACCCCGUAGCAGCUGU